UCUAACCCUUCUGGGAGGAGGAUGCCGAAGGCAGGGCUGAUGACUGGGGUGAAGUCGUAACAAGGUAGCCGUACCGGAAGGUGUGGCUGGAUCACCUCCUUUUUAGGGAGACCUGAGAAAUGAAUUGAGUUCAAACGCAUCAAUCAUUACUCUCACAUCCCAGGUCGGUCGGGGUCAAACCAGAAGGCUUUCAAACUCAGAGCAGGGCGGGAGAUGGGCUAUUAGCUCAGGUGGUUAGAGCGCACCCCUGAUAAGGGUGAGGUCCCUGGUUCAAGUCCAGGAUGGCCCAGUCCCAGGCAGCAUAGCCGGAAGUGCAUUACUGCCAGGGGUAAGGGGGUAUAGCUCAGCUGGUAGAGCGCUGCCUUUGCAAGGCAGAAGUCAGCGGUUCGAGUCCGCUUACCUCCAGAGCAGCCACCAACCUGUCAAGCAACUGCACUGGGGAAAAACCAGACAGACUGCUGGACAGUAUCAGUCCAGACGGAACCUAGAAAAUUACAUAGAAACUGAAUCAAAGGUGCAGCUAUUGUCGAGGCUGACUCGAUAAUAGCCCAGAAACCAAUGUGGUCAAGCUAUCAAGAGCUAAUGGUG
rnacentral:misc_RNA from 1 species